AUAGGCAACAGAGCUGCUGUGGCACUAUGGAUCAAAUGCAUCCGGAUUUACUUUCAUGCCCCUGAGUUAAGGUGAAGAGAGGAUCAAGAUUGGAUCUUUCAAAGAUGAAGCUGCAAAAAAAAAAAAAAAAAAUGAAUGGAGCAAUGUAAUCUACUCAGAGCGAAAGCACUGAACAUUUGAGAUAUGAUGAAGCUGCUGAGGCAUGUCGUUGUCAGUAGAUUGUGGUAACACUGCUCCAAUAAUGGCAAGUCCCACCUGACUGCAAUUGCUCAACUACUUUAAAAGAUGUAUGCUGAUUUAUCCAACCUACCUGUCAACUUACCCAGCUGUGCAGGAAUUAUAAUUGCACAUUUGAAAGCUCUAUCUUCAAAGCGUAUCAAUAUUUUUAGAAGAACAUCCCGUUCAAGAUAAGUAUGAUCAUCAUUCUCAAGAACAUGUCUUCCUUCAAAGGAACAGAGGACUGGAAGGGAUCUUUGGGGUCAUCCUGUUCAGUCUCCCGCUAUUGCAAGCAGUCCCUUUGUAGACAAUCUUUCCCCUUCUUGCACAUAUGCAACAAACAGAGAAUGUGUAUGCUGCUAGAGCUUGGGUAGAGAGUUUGGGGUGGAGAAAGGAAGAGUAUGAAAGGAGGAAGCAAGGGUUUCUCCUAUGUGGGAACUGCUUCACUGUGAAAAGCGUGAUUAACUCCACUUGAAGAACACUUAGAAAUACAAGAAUGCAAUUAUGCCACAUUGAAAUUAGGUGGGAUAUGGACAUAAAUGUAAUAUUGUUUGAAUUGUACUGCUUCCCGUGUAAGAGUUUCUGCUGAACUGUGUAGGAAUGAGUGUA